GCAGAAAAUUAGAGAACGCACACUUAGAUUCACACAGGACAGCGAAUAGGACAGGAGAAGUACUCCAGAUAUAACAAACUGACCCUAGCACCCCGACACAUAAACUACUGCAGCAUAAAUACUGGAGGCUGAGACAGGAGGGGUCAGGAGACACUGUGGCCCCAUCCGAGGACACCCCCGGACAGGGCCAAACAGGAAGGAUAUAACCCCACCCACUUUGCCAAAGCACAGCCCCCACACCACUAGAGGGAUAUCUUCAACCACCAACUUACCAUCCUGAGACAAGGCUGAGUAUAGCCCACAAAGAUCUCCGCCACGGCACAACCCAAGGGGGGGGGCGCCAACCCAGACAGGAUGACCACAACAGUGAAUCAACCCACUCAGGUGACGCACCCCAUCCAGGGACGGCAUGAGAGAGCCCCAGUAAGCCAGUGACUCAGCCCCUGUAAUAGGGUUAGAGGCAGAGAAUCCCAGUGGAAAGAGGGGAACCGGCCAGGCAGAGACAGCAACUUCCUAACAACGAGUUGCACCCCAUUUAGCCCUCGGAACAGCCUCAAUUCGUCAGGGCAUGGACUCUACAAGGUGUCGAAAGCGUUCUACAGGGAUGCUGUCCCGUGUUGACUCCAAUGCUUCCCACAGUUGUUUCAUGUUCGAUGGAUGUCUUUUGGGUGGUGGACCAUUCUUGAUACACAUGGGAAACUAAUGAGUGUGAAAAACCAAGCAGCGUUCCGGUUCUUGACACACUCAAACUGGUUCACCUGUCACCUACUUCCAUACCCCGUUAAAUCUUUUGUCUUGCCCAUUCACCCUCUGAAUGGAACACAUACCCAAUCCAUGUCUCAUUCGUCUCAAGGUUAAAACAUCCCUCUUUAAUCUGUCUCCUCCCCUUCAUCUACAGUGAUUGAAGUGGAUAUAACAGGUGACAUCAAUAAGUGAUCAUAGCUUUCACCAUUUACCAAACAUGAUUUGGGGUCAUUUUCUUCAAGAGUUACUUAUUUGUCACCAAUCAGCUCACAUUGUAAAUAAUCUAUCUUGUCUCUUUUGUUUUUCGUCUCGUCAUGUCUUCUCUCUCUCCAUUCUCUUGUACCCUUCAUGACUCCAGAGCUCAGAUCCAUAGAUUAUUAUUGACCCCAUCACAUGAAGACACAGCCAGACUGAGGAUCAUCAAGCCCUGAACAGUCGAAUUCUGUUUCCAGAGUUGUAGCUGUACUGUGUGUCUGUUGUGGGUGGCAGGGUUUCUGUCAGAGCCUGGGUCUCCUGAUGAUUGCCCACCAUCCACAACAAAUUAGCUAUAGUUUCUGCAGAUUCUUCAACUCUUUUAGGGUAAUUGCAGGCUAGGUAAAUUGUCAGUGACAGACCCCGUGAAACUCAAUAUCUCAAACACAGAGUGAAGGGUGUAGUAAAUAGGUGUACUGUACUGGGCUUUGAAUACUGCACCUGCAGUAUACACUUGUCCGCCUGCAGUACUCACUUGUCCGCCUGUAAUACUCAUCUGUCCACCUGCAGUACUCACCUGUCUGCCUGCAAUACUCACCUGUCCGCCUGCAGUACUCACCUGUCUGCCUGCAAUACUCAUCUGUCCGCCUGCAAUACUCACCUGUCCGCCUGCAAUACUCACCUGUCCGCCUGCAGUACUCACCUGUCUGCCUGCAAUAAUCAUCUGUCCACCUGCAGUACUCACCUGUCUGCCUGCAAUACACACCUGUCCGCCUGCAGUACUCACCUGUCUGCCUGCAAUACUCACCUGUCCGCCUGCAAUACUCACCACUUGCAGUAUCCGCCUGCAGUACUCACCUGUCCACAUGCAGUACUCACCUGUCCACAUGCAGUACCCACCUGUCCACCUGCAGUACUCACCUGUCCACGUGCAGUACUCACCUGUCCACCUGCAGUACUCACAUGUCCACCUACAGUACUCACCUGUCCACGUGCAGUACUCAAUAUUAGGGAGGUGUUAAUGUUUGGUACAGUCGGUGUAUGUAAUUUAACAGGCACUUUUAUCCAAAGCAACCUAAAAAAAUAUAUAUAGAUGACCCUCGGAAUCAAACUAACUUUCCAGGCAUUGCAAGAGCCAUGCUCUACCAAAUGAGCUACAGAGGACCACUCAUAAAAUCUGUGGCUAGUUGAUUCAAGUGCUGGGCUGGAACAAAACAGUGCAACCCUGAGGAUACUCAGGACUUGAGAAACACUCUGCUCUGACAUGAUUUACAGUGAUUAGAUUGCUUUUACAGGAAUCACGGCCUUCUCAAACAGUGAAACAGACCAUCUCAAACCAACUACAAACCACAGUUAUGUUGUAUCUGUUUCUUAUACAUUUCUGGUUGUGAGCAGGAAGACUCCCACCUGUAUUGGCAGCCUGCCUGUCCCUUAAAUCACGUACCUUAAAGGUCUCUCCCUUCUGUUUGCUAUUUAGCUAUCAGACACCUGCGUCAACAAACGUUGAUUGGGAGUCUUCCUCCAGGGGACAACAAAGCAGAACAACUCUUCCUGUUCAGCUGGAGCAGUGAUAAAGAAGAAAUAUUGAGGACCUGAGCCCUAGGACCAUGCCUCUGGAGUACCUGGCAUGAUGACUCCUUGCUGUCCCCAGUCCACCUGGCCGUGCUGCUGCUCCAGUUUCAACUGUUCUGCCUGCGGCUAUGGAACCCUGACCUGUUCAUCGGACAUGCUACCUGUCCCAGACCUGCUGUUUUCAACUCUCUAGAGACAGCAGGAGCGGUAGAGAUACUCUCAAUGAUUGGCUAUGAAAAGCCAACUGACAUUUACUCCUGAGGUACUGACUUGUUGCACCCUCGACAACUACUGUGAUUAUUCUUAUUUGACCAUGCUGGUCAUUUAUGAACAUUUGAACAUCAGCCAUGUUCUGUUAUAAUCUCCACUCGGCACAGCCAGUCAAGGACUGGCCACCCCUCAUAGCCUGGUUCUUCUCUAGGUUUCUUCCUAGGGAGUUUUUCAUAGCCACCAUGCUUCUACACCUGCAUUGCUUGCUGCUUUGGGGUUUUAGGCUGGGUUUCUGCCCAGCACCUUGAUAUAUCAGCUGAUGUAAGAAGGGCUAAAUAAAUACAUUUGAUUUGAUUUGUGGGGAUGAUUGAUGUUCUCGGGGUGCUGAGAGGUGUUGGGUUUGUGCCAGACAUAGCAUUUUCCUUGAUGGUCAAAAAGCUACAUUUUAGUCUCAUCUGACCAGAGUACCUUCUUCCAUAUGUUUGGGGAGUCUCCCACAUGCCUUUUGGCGAACACCAAACGUGUUUGCUUAUUUUUUCUUUAACCUUUUCACACGUACCAACACACAGGUCGCCCAACCCACUGGCUCCAGGUCAUCUAUAAGUAGAUGGUAGGUAAAGCUCCGCCCUAUCUCAGCUCACUAGUCACCCAAUCUACCUACCUCAUCCCCAUAUAGUUUUUAUUCACUUUGCUGCUCUUUUGCACACCAGUAUCACUACUUACACACCAUCAUCUGCUCAUCAUCAUCUGCUCAUCUAUCACUCCGGUGUUAAUCUGCUAAAUUGUAAUUCCUUUGCUACUAUGGCCUAUUUAUUGCCUUACCUCCUCAUGUCAUUUGCCCACACUGUAUAUAGACUUUUUUUCCUAUUGUGUUAUUGACUGUACGCUUGUUUAUUCCAUGUGUAACUCUGUGUUGUUGUUUCUGUCGUACUGCUUUGCUUUAUCUUAUCCAGGUCGCAGUUGUAAAUGAGACCUUGUUCUCAACUAGUUUACCUGGUUAAAUAAAGAUAAAAACAUUUUUUUAACAAUG